rnacentral:rRNA from 1 species
CCUUUGUACACACCGCCCGUCGCUACUACCGAUUGAAUGGCUUAGUGAGGUCUUCGAAUUAGCUUCGGGGAGCCGGCAACGGCACCUUGUCGUUGAGAAGUUGAUCAAACUUGGUCAUUUAGAGG